UAGUUUUUAGCUCGACUUUUCUAUGAAAAGGGGAGCUAUCCUACUCGCCCCGGCGUCGGCGUUGGCGUCACACCUUGGUUAAGUUUUUCGUACCACCCCACUUUAUUUCAGAAGUAUUACAAGUAUGGCUUUGAAACUUACCAUACUUGUUCACCAUCAUAACCUCCAUCUACAGACAAGAGUACAUAACUCUGUCAAGGUUUUUGACAGAAUUAUGGCCCUUUUUUGACUUAGAAAGUGUAUUGAGCUUGGUUAAGUUUUUUGUACCACCUCACUUUGUUUCAAAACCAUUGGAGGUAUUGCUUUGAAACUGACCAUACUUGUUUACCAUCACGACCUUCAUCAACAGACAAGAGGACAUAACUCUGUCAAGGUUUUUGACAGAAUUAUGCCCCUUUUUGACUUAGAAAAUACAUUGAAUAUGGGUAAAAUCCACUUAUUGCCUUAACCCUUUGAGAUAUUGCUUUGAAACUUUUAAUGCUAUUUCACAUCAUUACCCCCAUCUGUACGCAAGAGAAGGUAACUCUGUCAAGGAUUUGUUUUAAAAAUUAAGGCCUUUUAUCGACUUAGAAUCUUGGUUAAGUUUUUUGUACCACCUCACUUUAUUUCAAAACCAUUGGAGGUAUUGCUUUGAAACUGACCAUACUUGUUUACCAUCACGACCUUCAUCAACAGACAAGAGGACAUAACUCUGUCAAGGUUUUUGACAGAAUUAUGCCCCUUUUUGACUUAGAAAAUACAUUGAAUAUGGGUAAAAUCCACUUAUUGCCUUAACCCUUUGAGAUAUUGCUUUGAAACUUUUAAUGCUAUUUCACAUCAUUACCCCCAUCUGUACGCAAGAGAAGGUAACUCUGUCAAGGAUUUGUUUUAAAAAUUAAGGCCUUUUAUCGACUUAGAAUCUUGGUUAAGUUUUUAGUACCAGUCCACUUUUUGACUGAACUGUUUGAGAUAUUAAUUUGAAAGUUGGAAUACUUGUUUACAAUCAUGAUUCCCAAACAUGUCCAGGAGAAGGUAAUUCUGUCAAAGAUUUUAUUUGAAUUAUGGCCCUUAACUGUCAAUGUUUUGUAUUAUAGGCAAGCACUAAAAAACUUAAAAAAUCUAAAAAAAUUCAUUCCUAUCCACUUGUUCACUCUCAAAGUGAGUUUAAUACUAUUAAAUUUAUUUAAGGCUCAACUCAGUUUUUUUUUCUUUCUUACCAGCCCUCUUUUGACUUAAACAUUUCAAACUUUGCUGCAGUGUUCAAGGGUAUCACACAAUUCAGUAAAAUAAUUCUUCACUAAAUAUCUUAAUGCUCAUGGCCAUUGUUCACUUUAAAAAUACAGAGAUUCUUGUAUUGCCUUUUACUGCAAAAACUUUUUUUAUUGGCAAGCAAUAAAAAAGUCGAGCGCGCUGUCUUACGGACAGCUCUUGUUUUAUGCCCCCGCCAUGUAAUGGCCGGGGCAUAUAGUGUUACCCUGUUCCGUCAUUCCGUCCUUCCGUCCUUCCGUCAUUCUGUCAUUCCGUUAUCAUCAGUUUCCGUUCAUUAUCUUAAGAACGGUUGGACAUAUUCAACUCAAAUUUGACAUAUGGAUAUGUCAUGAGAAAAUACAGGUCAAGUUCGAAUUUGGUCAUGGUUCGAUGAUUUUUGGCAGAGUUAUGCCCCUUUUACUUUGAAAAUAAUAUGAAAUUUCAGUUUCCGUUCAUUAUCUUAAGAACGGUUGGACACAUUCAAUUCAAACUUGACAUAUGGAUAUGUCAUGAGAAAAUACAGGUCAAGUUCGAAUUUGGUUAUGGUUCCAUGAUUUUUGGCAGAGUUAUGCCCCUUUUACUUUGAAAAUAAUAUGAAAUUUUCAGUUUCCGUUCAUUAUCUCCCCAACGGUUCAACACAAUCAACUCAAACUUGACAUAUUGAUAUGUCAUGAAAAAAUACAGGUCAAGUUUGAAUUUGGUCAUGGUUCGAUGAUUUUUGGUAGAGUUAUGCCCCUUUUACUUUGAAAAUAAUAUGAAAUUUUCAGUUUCCGUUCAUUAUCUCCCUCAAGGUACAACACAUUCAACUCAAACAUGACAUAUGGAUGCAUCAAAGGAAUGCGCAGGUCAAGUUCAAAUUUGGUCAUGGUUCAAUGAUUUUUGGCAGAGUUAUGCCCCUUUCACUUUGAAAGUAAUAUGAAAUUUUCAGUUUCCAUUUAUUAUCUCCCCAACGGUACAACACAUUCAACUCAAAUUUGACAUAUGGAUAUGUUUUUGGAAUGCGCAGGUCAAGUUCAAAUUUGGUCAUGGUUCAAUGAUUUUUGGCAGAGUAAUGCCCCUUUCACUUUGAAAAUAAUAUGAAAUUUACAGUUUCUGUUCAUUAUCUACCCAACAGUGUCACAUAUUCAACUUUAAUUUGACAUAUGGAUAUGUCAAAGGAAUGGGCAGGUCAAGUUGGAAUUUGGUCAUGGUUUGAUGAUUUUUGACAAACUUAUCUUUCCUGAAUGUUGGAAAAAUUUUGAACUUUCAGUUUCACCACUCAUUCUUUUAGCCAUUAUUUUGGCUACAAAUAUGCAAUAUGCUAUUUCUAAAAGGUUAAGACUGAAUAAUUUCAGUGCCUUGAACAUUGUAUGGAAAUGGUUUGUGUUAACAUUGAAAAGUUUUAAGGGCUUUGAACUUAAAAUGAAAAAAAUAAUUAAUGCACCAUCUGAAAUUUUGGCUGCAUGCGGGGGCAUCCGUGGCAUGAUGACACAUUUCUAGUUUUCAAUAUGAUUC